rnacentral:lncRNA from 1 species
UCAUGUUUAUCACUUAAUUUGAGAUGUAUAAUAAAACACUCAUGGUGGUUAUUGAUGCAGACGAUGUUCAGCACAGAAAACAUGAGGAUCUUGGGCAACAAUUUUACUAAAGAUUUUGUUUCAAUCCAUUGUCCUUUAAACCACUCCAUUUAAGUAAGGCAUAUAUUGUUGCUUAAAAUUUCAAAAGCAAACCUGGAAAGGCAUAAUA